GUGAACGGGGAGGGCAGUGAUCGCGAUGUGAAAACUUGGCGCCCUUGCUCAGCGACCUCAGAAAGAGCCUCAGUUUCCUGGUCUGUAUAGCCGCGAAGAGCAGCGUGAGCUUUGAAGACUUAUUCAGCAUUUGGUUUUCCAGUCUUAGCUUCAGUACUUACCAGCUGCCCAUUGGAUGUGCAAAGUUUUCAACUCGAGUUCAGGAAGCAGAAGAUUCAACACAGCACAGAGAUUGGAAGGAAUUCUCAGGAUAACAAUGAAGAGAAACAGAAGGUCCACAUCUGUGCAGCAGACAUGAAGAGCCAUUAGUUUAGCUUGGAGCUGGAGGACAAGAAAGAUGCCUCCCAGAAGGCAAACACAGAAUAACAUAAGCAAUGAUACAUCUGACAUCAGGGAAAAUUGUAUCUACUACUUCUAUAAGAUAUGCAAAGAUUUAGCAGUGGAUAAAAAGGAAGCUGGGCAGUAAAAAGCAAGGCAUUAUUCUAGAAAAGAAAAGGAGUUGUAAGUACAGUACAUGAGUAACUUAGUAGCGAACAAUAUUUAUUUAGUAGUAAUAAUGCAGAUAUUAUCAUGACCCAAAAAAUUGGUGAUUUGGGUAGUAAUAAGGAGUUGGAGAUUUUAGAUGUAAUUACUCACCUAUCAUGAUAGGAAGUUAAUCAUUAAGGGUUAUAGCUCAGUGGUAGAACACUUGACUAGCCUGUUAAAAGCCCUGGGUUUAAUCCUCAGUUAAUCAUUACUGUUUCAAGAGAGAGGAGUGAAAGCAUGGGAAUCUAUUCCAUAAAAAAGAAAUGUGAAUUGAAUGUAGCUACAUUUAGGGAAAGAUUCAGGGCUCCUAAGCGUGGGACAAGACACCAUUGUGAGGUUUUGGUUGCUAAUCAACUUACUAUUUACAUCUUCCAGUGUAAUUAAAAUAAUAAUCAGGGGCUUCAUGGUAGAGAACUUGAUUAGCAUGCUCAAAGCCCUUGACUAGAUGCCCAGACUGCAAAA